AAGUUGCACUGACUUUUGCCACUUAAGAUUCCAGUUUGCCUGAAUCAUCAUUGAGGUCUGUCUCUAAGACAGCUGCCACUAAUAUUCUUUCCAUUAGGAAACAAAUGGGAAGACAAGAACAUAGAAGACCAGAUUGAAAAUUCUGGAAGCAAUCUAAGGCAGAUCAUAUCUCACUCUGGACACAAACCUUACAAGCAUGAGGAAUAUGAAGAGGAUCUAUGUGAAUUUAAACAGUACAGGAAAUGUCUGCCUUCUCUCAAAACCGUUUCAUCACAAAUGUUAAUACAAACUGAAAGUGGACCUUUUAAAAGUGCAGUAUGUGGGAAAGUCUUCAGUUGUUCCAGUUCCAUUCAAAGCAUGAAGAAACUCAUACUGGGCACAAACCCUAUGAGUGCAUACAGUGUGGUGAAACCCUUUUGUCUCUGACAGGUGUUCAAAGACACAUGAUAAUACACCGUGGAAAUAAACCUUUUAAAUGUAAGAUCCAUACAUCAACUCAAACUGUGGAGAAGCCUUAUGUAUUCAAAGAAUGUGGGAGAGCCUUCACUCAUCCCUGUCACCUUCAAAUACAUGAACAAACUCAUACUGGAGACAAGUCGUAUAAAUGUGAACAAUGUGGAAAAGCUUUCACUCAUUCCUCUCAACUUCAAAUACAUGAACGAACUCAUACCGGAGAGAAGCUCUAUGAAUGUGAAUAAUGUGGGAAAACCUUUACUACUUCCACUCAACUUCAACUAUGUGAACAAACUCAUUCUGGAGAGAAACCUUAUAAAUGUGAACAAUUUGGAAUAGCUUUCACUCGUUUCUCUUACUUUCACAUACAUAAGCAAACUCAUACCAGAGAAAAGCCCCAUGAAUGUGAACAAUGUGGGAAAGCCUUCAUGAGUUCCUCUGUACUUAAAACACAUAAACAAACUCAUCCUGAAGAGAAACACUAUAAAUGUGAAGAAUGUGGGGAAGCUUUCAAUAGUUCCUCUCACCUUCACACUCAUGAACAAACUCACACUGGAGAGAAACCCUCUAAAUGCAAACAAUGUGAAAAAGCUUACAUAUGUUCCUCUUACCUUCAGAUGCAUAAGCAAACUCAUACUGGAGAGAAACCCUAAUUAUGUGACCAAUGUGGGAAAGCCUUCACUAGUUCCUCUGUACUUCAAAAACAUAAAUGACCUCACUGGAUAAAAACCCUAUAAAUGUGAACAAUGCGGGAAAGCCUUCACUAGUUCCUCUCACCUUCACUCACAUAAAUGAUCUCACACUGGA